rnacentral:rRNA from 1 species
GUAACGGCGAGUGAAGCGGCAACAGCUCAAAUUUGAAAUCUGGCCUCCUCGAGGUCCGAGUUGUAAUUUGUAGAGGGUGCUUCGGGUGCGAUGCCGGUCUAAGUUCCUUGGAACAGGACGUCGUAGAGGGUGAGAAUCCCGUAUGCGACCGGCGAUCAAGCCCGUGCGAAGCCCCUUCGACGAGUCGAGUUGUUUGGGAAUGCAGCUCAAAAUGGGUGGUAAAUUUCAUCUAAAGCUAAAUAUUGGCCAGAGACCGAUAGCGGACAAGUAGAGUGAUCGAAAGAUGAAAAGCACUUUGGAAAGAGAGUCAAACAGUACGUGAAAUUGUUGAAAGGGAAGCGCUUGCAAUCAGACCGGUCCGGAGGCGAUCAGCCGCUGCUCGUCAGCGGUGCACUCGCCUGCGAUCCGGCCAGCAUCGGUUUGGGCGGCGGGAUAAAAGUCCCGGGAAUGUAGCUUCUCCCGGGGAGUCUUAUAGCCCGGGUCGCAAUGCCGCCCGCCCGGACCGAGGACCGCGCUUCGGCUAG